GGGAAUAUGGCUCAGUGGUAGGGCACUUGCCUAGCAUGUGUGAAGCCUUGGGUUCAAUUCUGAGUACUACCA
rnacentral:tRNA from 1 species